rnacentral:rRNA from 1 species
AGUGAGGAAUAUUGGACAAUGGGCGAAAGCCUGAUCCAGCCAUGCCGCGUGCAGGAUGAAUGCCCUAUGGGUUGUAAACUGCUUUUAUGUAGGAAGAAUAAAAGCUACGUGUAGCUUGAUGACGGUACUGCAUGAAUAAGGAUCGGCUAACUCCGUGCCAGCAGCCGCGGUAAUACGGAGGAUCCAAGCGUUAUCCGGAAUCAUUGGGUUUAAAGGGUCUGUAGGCGGGCUAUUAAGUCAGAGGUGAAAGUUUGCUGCUCAACAGUAAAAUUGCCUUUGAUACUGAUAGUCUUGAGUUAUUUAGAAGUGGUUAGAAUGUGUAGUGUAGCGGUGAAAUGCAUAGAUAUUACACAGAAUACCGAUUGCGAAGGCAGAUCACUAUGAAUAUACUGACGCUGAGAGACGAAAGCGUGGGGAGCGAA